UACAGAGGUCCCAAGCGUUGUUCGGAUUCACUGGGCGUAAAGGGUGCGUAGGUGGCCAGGUAAGUUCGGUGUGAAAGCUCGGAGCUCAACUCCGAAAAGGCAUUGAAUACUAUCUGGCUGGAGGGUCGGAGGGGAGACUGGAAUUCUCGGUGUAGCAGUGAAAUGCGUAGAUAUCGAGAGGAACACCAGUGGCGAAGGCGCCCACCUGGCCUGCUACUGACGCUGAAGCUCGAAAGCUAGGGGAGCAAACGGG
rnacentral:rRNA from 1 species